AUCCAGCUGAUGAGUCCAAAAUAGGACCAAACGUGCAUCAAACUGGAU
rnacentral:hammerhead_ribozyme from 1 species